GGAGCUUAACUCCAUAUCGGCGGUGGAAACUGAUGAACUAGAGGGUGGUAGGGGUCACGGGAAUUCCCAGUGUAGCGGUGAAAUGCGUAGAUAUUGGGAAGAACACCAGCGGCGAAAGCGCGUGACUGGGCCAUUACUGACACUCAUGGACGAAAGCUAGGGGAGCGAAAGGGAUUAGAUACCCCUGUAGUCCUAGCCGUAAACGAUGGACACUAGGUGUUGCCCGAUCGACCCGGGCAGUGCCGUAGCUAACGCGUUAAGUGUCCCGCCUGGGGAGUACGCACGCAAGUGUGAAACUCAAAGGAAUUGACGGGGGCCCGCACAAGCGGUGGAGUAUGUGGUUUAAUUCGAUGCAACGCGAAGAACCUUACCAGGGCUUGACAUGUCGCGAAUCCCCUUGAAAGGGGGGAGUGCCUUCGGGAGCGCGAGCACAGGUGGUGCAUGGCUGUCGUCAGCUCGUGUCGUGAGAUGUUGGGUUAAGUCCCGCAACGAGCGCAAGCCAAGUUUCUAGUUGGCAGCAUUCAGUUGGGCACUUUAGAGAGACUGCCGGUGACAACCGGAGGA
rnacentral:rRNA from 1 species